rnacentral:rRNA from 1 species
UACGUAGGGUGCGAGCGUUGUCCGGAAUUAUUGGGCGUAAAGGGCUCGUAGGCGGUGUGUCGCGUCGGCCGUGAAAACCUGGGGCUUAACUCUGGGCGUGCGGUCGAUACGGGCAUCACUAGAGUUCGGCAGGGGAGACUGGAAUUCCAGGUGUAGCGGUGAAAUGCGUAGAUAUCUGGAGGAACACCGGUGGCGAAGGCGGCGUCCUGGACCAACACUGACACUGAGGAGCGAAAGCCAGGGGAGCAAACGGG